GUGGAGACUAACUAUGAAAUGCUUACUGACAGAGACUUACCAACAAAGCGGCCGCGUAGCCUAGUGGUUAGAGUGUAGGGGCGGCAGCGUAGCCUAGUAGUUAGAGUGUAGGGGCGGCAGCGUGGCCUAGUGGAUAGAGUGUAGGGGCGGCAGGGUAGCCUAGUGGUUAGAGUGUAGGGACAGGCAGGUAGCCUAGUGGUUAGAAUGUAGGGGCGGCAGGGUAGCCUAGUGGUUAGAGUGUAGGGGCGGCAAGUAGUCUAGUGGUUAGAUUGGAGGGGCGGCAGUGUAGCCUAGUGGUUAGAGUGUAGGGGCGGCAGGGUAGCCUAGUGGUUAGAGUGUAGGGGCGGCAGGUAGCCUAGUGGUUAGAGUGGUGGGGCGGCAGGUAGCCUAGUGGUUAGAGUGUAGGGGCGGCAGCGUAGCCUAGUGGUUAGAGUGUAGGGGCGGCAGGGUAGCCUAGUGGUUAGAGUGUAGGGGCGGCAGGUAGUCUAGUGGUUAGAGUGUAGGGGCGGCAGGGUAGCCUAGUGGUUAGAGUGUAGGGGUGGCAGCGUAGCCUAGUGGUUAGAGUGUAGGGACAGGCAGGUAGCCUAGUGGUUAGAGUGGAGGGGCGGCAGGUAGCCUAGUGGUUAGAGUGGUGGGGCGGCAGGUAGCCUAGUGGUUAGAGUGUAGGGGUG
ensembl:lncRNA